ACACAUGCAAGUCGAACGAGAAAGCCCGGUUUCGGCUGGGCGAGUAAAGUGGCGCACGGGUGAGUAACGCGUGGGUAAUCUACCCCCGGAUUCGGGAUAACAUUGCGAAAGCGGUGCUAAUACCGGAUGAUAUCCGCAGUACUUUGGUAUUUCGGAUGAAAGACAGCCUCUGCAUGCAAGCUGUUGUUUGGGGAUGAGUCUGCGUCCCAUUAGCUUGUUGGUAGGGUAACGGCCUACCAAGGCGACGAUGGGUAGCUGGUCUGAGAGGAUGAUCAGCCACACCGGAACUGACACACGGUCCGGACUCCUACGGGAGGCAGCAGUGAGGAAUUUUGCGCAAUGGGCGGAAGCCUGACGCAGCAACGCCGCGUGAGUGAAGAAGGCUUUCGGGUCGUAAAGCUCUGUCAUGUGGGAAGAACGUUCACUGUAUGAACAGUGCAGUGAUUUGACGGUACCACAGAAGGAAGCACCGGCUAACUCCGUGCCAGCAGCCGCGGUAAUACGGAGGGUGCGAGCGUUAUUCGGAAUUAUUGGGCGUAAAGGGCGCGUAGGCGGCCUUUCAAGUCAGGUGUGAAAACCCGGGGCUUAACCCCGGAAGUGCAUUUGAUACUGGGAGGCUUGAGUAUGGGAGAGGGAAGCGGAAUUCCUGGUGUAGCGGUGAAAUGCGUAGAUAUCAGGAGGAACACCGGUGGCGAAGGCGGCUUCCUGGACCAAUACUGACGCUGAGGCGCGAAGGCGUGGGAGCAAACAGGAUUAGAUACCCUGGUAGUCCACGCAGUAAACGGUGAUCACUAGUGUAGCGGGUAUUUACCCCUGCUGUGCCGGAGCAACGCAUUAAGUACACAUGCAAGGGGGAG
rnacentral:rRNA from 1 species